UACAGAGGUCCCAAGCGUUGUUCGGAUUCACUGGGCGUAAAGGGUGCGUAGGCGGUAGGGUAAGUCGGAUGUGAAAUCUCCGAGCUUAACUCGGAAAUGGCAUUGGAAACUACCUUGCUAGAGGAUUGGAGGGGGGACUGGAAUACUUGGUGUAGCAGUGAAAUGCGUAGAUAUCAAGUGGAACACCAGUGGCGAAGGCGAGUCCCUGGACAAUUCCUGACGCUGAGGCACGAAAGCUAGGGGAGCAAACAGG
rnacentral:rRNA from 1 species